rnacentral:piRNA from 1 species
UCCUCAUGCAACGUGGCCUGCCUUCCCAAU